rnacentral:rRNA from 1 species
GACGAACGCUGGCGGCGUGCUUAACACAUGCAAGUCGAACGGAAAGGCCCUGCUUUUGUGGGGUGCUCGAGUGGCGAACGGGUGAGUAACACGUGAGUAACCUGCCCUUGACUUUGGGAUAACUUCAGGAAACUGGGGCUAAUACCGGAUAGGAGCUCCUGCUGCAUGGUGGGGGUUGGAAAGUUUCGGCGGUUGGGGCUGGACUCGCGGGUUAUCAGCUUGUUGGUGGGGUAGUGGCUUACCAAGGCUUUGACGGGUAGCCGGCCUGAGAGGGUGAACGGCCACAUUGGGACUGAGAUACGGCCCAGACUCCUACGGGAGGCAGCAGUGGGGAAUAUUGCACAAUGGGCGGAAGCCUGAUGCAGCAACGCCGCGUGCGGGAUGACGGCCUUCGGGUUGUAAACCGCUUUCGCCUGUGACGAAGCGUGAGUGACGGUAAUGGGUAAAGAAGCACCGGCUAACUACGUG